rfam:Oryza meridionalis cultivar OR44 (W2112) chromosome 1, whole genome shotgun sequence.
AAAAAAACAAACCCUAGAUUUCCGUGUCCAACGUUUGACCGUCCGUCUUAUUUAAAAAAAUUAUAAAAAAAAUAAAAAGACAAGUCACACAUAAAGUAUUAAUCGUGUUUUAUCAUUUGACAACAAUGAAAAUACUAAUUAUAAAAAAAAUUCAUAUAAGACGGACAGUUAAAUGUUAGACACAAAAUCUAGGGUUUGUCUUUUU